UCCGGUCGGGAACUCAAAGGAGACUGCCAGUGAUAAACUGGAGGAAGGUGGGGAUGACGUCAAGUCAUCAUGGCCCUUACGACCAGGGCUACACACGUGCUACAAUGGCGCAUACAAAGAGAAGCGACCUCGCGAGAGCAAGCGGACCUCAUAAAGUGCGUCGUAGUCCGGAUUGGAGUCUGCAACUCGACUCCAUGAAGUCGGAAUCGCUAGUAAUCGUGGAUCAGAAUGCCACGGUGAAUACGUUCCCGGGCCUUGUACACACCGCCCGUCACACCAUGGGAGUGGGUUGCAAAAGAAGUAGGUAGCUUAACCUUCGGGAGGGCGCUUACCACUUUGUGAUUCAUGACUGGGGUGAAGUCGUAACAAGGUAACCGUAGGGGAACCUGCGGUUGGAUCACCUCCUUACCUUAAAGAA
rnacentral:rRNA from 2 species